GAUGAAGAACGCAGUGAAAUGCGAUACGUAAUGUGAAUUGCAGAAUUCAGUGAAUCAUCGAGUCUUUGAACGCACAUUGCGCCCCCUGGUAUUCCGGGGGGCAUGCCUGUCCGAGCGUCAUUGCUGCCCUCAAGCACGGCUUGUGUGUUGGGCCUCCGUCCUCCUCCCGGGGGACGGGCCCGAAAGGCAGCGGCGGCACCGCGUCCGGUCCUCGAGCGUAUGGGGCUUCGUCACCCGCUCUUGUAGGCCCGGCCGGCGCUUGCCGACACAUCAAUCUUUUUUCCAGGUUGACCUCGGAUCAGGUAGGGAUACCCGCUGAACUUAAGCAUAUCAUAAGCGGAGGA
rnacentral:misc_RNA from 1 species